rnacentral:rRNA from 1 species
AUGGAGCACAUCGAGCAAUUUUGCGGCCUCUGGGAGAAGAUUCAAGAGGUGCACUUGCAUGACAACAUUGCCGAUGAUAUCAGAUGGAACCUCACCGCCAACGGGCACUACUCAGCGGCCUCGGCUUACAAGGCCCAGUUCGAGGGCUCUAUCAUCUCACCCAUGCCCAAGAUGAUGUGGGAUAGUUGGGCACCACCUAAGUGCAAAUUCUUUGCCUGGCUUGUUAUCAAGGAUAGAGUCUGGACCGCCGAUCAUCUUCAGCGGAGGGGUUGGCCAAACUGCAACUUAUGCCAGCUUUGCAAGAGGGAACCGGAGACCGCGGCGCAUCUCCUCUUCAAAUGUAGAUACUCCACUCGAAUUUGGAAUGUGGUUAGAGCUUGGCUGGACGCGCCGGAGUUGGAUGUAGCGGCAUGGACCGGUAUACCCUCGGUCAGCGAGUGGUGGACUUCGGUGGUUCUCACUCGUGGUCAUAGGAAGAAAGCGGUGUCUUCUCUUAUCAUCCUUGUUUCUUGGGAGGUCUGGAAAGAGAGAAACACAAGAGUUUUUCAGCAAACUUGUAGGCUGCCAUCUGUGGUGGUCGAAGGCAUUAAGGCAGAGGCGAAGAACUGGAUCAUCGCUGGGGCUAGGCACUUGGGUUCUUUGAUGCCGCGAGAGUAG